rnacentral:rRNA from 1 species
UACGAAGGGGGCUAGCGUUAAUCGGAAUUACUGGGCGUAAAGCGUGCGCAGGCGGUUCGCUAAGACAGAUGUGAAAUCCCCGGGCUUAACCUGGGAACUGCAUUUGUGACUGGCGGGCUAGAGUAUGGCAGAGGGGGGUAGAAUUCCGACGUGUAGCAGUGAAAUGCGUAGAGAUGUGGAGGAAUACCGAUGGCGAAGGCAGCCCCCUGGGCCAAUACUGACGCUCAUGCACGAA